AUAUUUCAAAGUAAAUCAUACUUCCUUGAUAACUUCAAUAUCAUGCUCUAAUAAGCUAUUAAAAUA
rnacentral:tRNA from 1 species